UACGUAGGGUGCAAGCGUUAAUCGGAAUUACUGGGCGUAAAGCGUGCGCAGGCGGUUGUGCAAGACAGAUGUGAAAUCUCCGGGCUUAACCUGGGAACUGCAUUUGUGACUGCACGGCUAGAGUGUGUCAGAGGGGGGUAGAAUUCCACGUGUAGCAGUGAAAUGCGUAGAUAUGUGGAGGAAUACCGAUGGCGAAGGCAGCCCCCUGGGAUAACACUGACGCUCAUGCACGAAAGCGUGGGGAGCAAACAGG
rnacentral:rRNA from 1 species